rnacentral:lncRNA from 1 species
CAAUUUGGAAGAUUGAGCCUUGAAUAAGGUUGCUUGGCAGUUUGGUUUAGCCUAUACCAAUUAGAUCGGUUAUAUGAUGAUUGAUUAGAUGAGAUCUAAAUUUAAAUCUCCCUAUAAAAUACUAAGUCCAUAGGUCUUCCAUUGUUAUUGAUGUGCAGGCAUGGUACUGGUGUUGAUUGUUCUUGGCUGGUCACAAUGGUUCAAUUCAUCGGAAACAUACAAUCACUCUAUUAGCAAAGAGUUGCUCCAAAAUAAUGAUGAGGUUAGGCCCAAUAACUGUUAGGUAAAGAUUUCAAUAACAGCUUUGCACCUACUAGUGAAUGGU